AACAUCUGGAGUGGCUCUAUUGCCAGUUCAUCAUUUUCAGUGGCUCUUUUGUUAUUGGCCUUUUUGUCAUUGGCCUUUCCAAGUCCUGUGCCAGGCAACUGCAGAGAAUCGUUUUAUGGUGGAAACAGUUUGACAAAAGAAAAGUGUCUUCUUGGGGUUAUCCAUCCUGUGAUGUUCAGUACUUGGCUUUUCUUCAUGCGAUCACAGAUGACUACAGGAAUGGGAAGCUGGCAUGUGGAGAUGAGAAUAUAGGUAUUCAUAUAUAAACGGUCUCUUCUGGCCUGGAUCAUAUGCCAAAAGUGGGGGAGUUUAAACAAAAGAAGGUUUACCAAGACACUUUAGAUGGUAUGUAUAGAAUGCUAAAGUCAGAAAUGCAGGUUUCCAUGGUUAAUCAUGAGCAGUUCUGGGCUGCAGCUAAAGUCCAGAUGAUGAGAAUAUGCACCCUGGAAGAGACGGCUGGCACCGGUCAACUGGAAGUUAAUCAACUCCUUGUUAUGCUACAGGUACUUUAUUAAAACGUAUUCCUAAAGCACCAACAUGUUCUGCAGCGCUUUAUAAUAAAUGGGGAUAUACACUGAACACACAGAUUAAAUACCAAAAACAGAUACAAGAUGUAAAAAGUGGCCCAAAAGAACUUACCGUACAAUCAUCUCAUUUUCUGAGUAAAUUAAGUGUGGUGUGAUAACUAUACAGUUGUGGUCCCAGUAAUCCUUCAUUAGUCCUUCAGAAGUUUCUAAGCAAUACAGAUAUGAGACCUGUUAUCCAGAAUUCUCGG